rnacentral:rRNA from 1 species
CGCGGGGAAUCUUACCGGGUCCGGACACACUGAGGAUUGACAGACAAUUGUCUUUUUGUCAAAUUUAAAGACAAAAGAUAACAGAUCUUUCAUGAUUAUGUGAUGGGUGGUGCAUGGCCGUUCUUAGUUCGUGGAGUGAUCUGUCUGCUUAAUUGCGUUUCAAAUAUAUUUUAUUAUAUAACGAGUCUACAAAGGAGUGGUUCAUUAACAGACAAUCAUAUCUUUGAGCGUCUGGAAUCUACUCUAUUUGGCUCAAUUGAACGCAACGGACGUGAUCGCGAGUCCUUGUUGAACUUCAGUAUAUAUUGACUUUCCCCGUAGGAAGGGAUUGGCAAUAAUUGAAUGUUCGCUUUCUAUAGGUGUGUAUGAUUAAUCUCAAAAUUACAUGUAUUUGUAGUGGCGAGUAUAAUUUACUAUCCUAUAGGAAAACUCGGGCGACCGCUGUAAUAUUUCUCUUUAAAACAGAGGAAGAUUGCGGCAAUAACAGGUCUGUGAU